rnacentral:rRNA from 1 species
GCUUGUCUCAAAGAUUAAGCCAUGCAUGUCUCAGUAUAAGCUUGUGCAUAGUGAAACUGCGAACGGCUCAUUAUAACAGUUAUAGUCUACUCGAUAGUACCUUACUACUUGGAUAACCGUAGUAAUUCUAGAGCUAAUACAUGCGUAAAUACCCAACUGCUUGUCGGACGGGUAGCAUUUAUUAGAUUGAAACCAAUGCAGCUUCGGCUGGUAUUGUGUUGAGUCAUAAUAACUGUGCGGAUCGCUUUUUAAGCGAUAAAUCGAUUGAGUUUCUGCCCUAUCAGCUUUGGAUGGUAGGAUAUGGGCCUACCAUGGCGUUAACGGGUAACGGGGAAUUAGGGUUUGAUUCCGGAGAGGGAGCCUUAGAAACGGCUACCACAUCCAAGGAAGGCAGCAGG